AUGGAUGGCUCAGUGGUCGAGAGCACUGACUGCUCUUCUAGGGGACCUGGGUUCAAUUCCCAACACCUAUA
rnacentral:tRNA from 1 species